rnacentral:rRNA from 1 species
UACGUAGGGGGCAAGCGUUGUCCGGAAUCAUUGGGCGUAAAGCGCGUGUAGGCGGCUCGAUAAGUCUGCUGUGAAAGUUCAGGGCUCAACCCUGAAAUGCCGGUGGAAACUGUCGAGCUAGAGUGCGGGAGAGGAGAGUGGAAUUCCUGGUGUAGCGGUGAAAUGCGUAGAUAUCAGGAGGAACACCGGUGGUGUAGACGGCUCUCUGGACCGUAACUGACGCUGAGACACGAAAGCGUGGGUAGCAAACAGG